rnacentral:rRNA from 1 species
UACAGAGGUGGCAAGCGUUGUUCGGAAUUACUGGGCGUAAAGCGUGCGUAGACGGUUAUUUAAGUCGGGUGUGAAAGCCCCGGGCUCAACCUGGGAAUUGCAUUCGAGACUGAAUAGCUAGGGUACGGUAGAGGGAAGCGGAAUUUCCGGUGUAGCGGUGAAAUGCGUAGAUAUCGGGAAGAACACCCGUGGCGAAGGCGGCUCUCUGGGACGGUACUGACGCUGAGACGCGAAAGCGUGGGGAGCGAACAGG